CACGUAGGGUGCGAGCGUUGUCCGGAAUUAUUGGGCGUAAAGGGCGCGUAGGCGGCGCGGUAAGUCACUUGUGAAAUCUCUGAGCUUAACUCAGAACGGCCAAGUGAUACUGCAGUGCUAGAGUGUGGAAGGGGCAAUCGGAAUUCUUGGUGUAGCGGUGAAAUGCGUAGAUAUCAAGAGGAACACCUGAGGUGAAGACGGGUUGCUGGGCCAACACUGACGCUGAGGCGCGAAAGCCAGGGGAGCAAACGGG
rnacentral:rRNA from 1 species